rnacentral:lncRNA from 1 species
UUUAUAUUUUUGUAUAUUCAUUUUUAAAAAAAAAAAAAAAUAGAAAAAAGCAUUCAUGAUAAUAAUAAAUCAAAAUGUCAAUAUCAGGUCUAUUGGCAUUGCAAAUACGCCUUUGUCGCGCAGGCGCAAAACAAACAUAAUACUUCCCUACCCAUGUGAGACUUCUUUUUCCGGUGGAUCCUUUGGCGCAAGCACGUGUUACGACGUAUAAUAUCACAUUAAUUGAGACUUUGUAUUUCAUUUGCGUCGCAUUACAAUCUUUAUUUUCAUUCUCUAUAUUCCACGCUAUAAGGAUUGUAUCUAUCAGAAGCCACGUUUCUUCCUUGAAGCUGGAUUAAAUGCUAGUCUUGCCAACUUGCCGUAAAUACCCUGUCCAGUGAAUACGAAACGAAUUGCUUAGGAGGAUGACUCGAGACACAGCGACGUGACUCAACCGACUCCUUUAUAGAGGAAUCUUCCACGGAGAAAGAGAUACGCAUGAUUUCUGAUGACCAUGGAAGAUUAAGACACCAUACAGGUGCUCGAUUUUUGCGAUAAUUGAUGAUGAUGGAGAUGUAUUGGAAAUAUCGAAGAUGGAGGAAUUGUAUUGUAAAAUUGGAAACGAAUAUUUCUGUG